rnacentral:rRNA from 1 species
GACGAACGCUGGCGGCGUGCUUAACACAUGCAAGUCGAACGGAAAGGCCCUGCUUUUGUGGGGUGCUCGAGUGGCGAACGGGUGAGUAACACGUGAGUAACCUGCCCUUGACUUUGGGAUAACUUCAGGAAACUGGGGCUAAUACCGGAUAGGAGCUCCUGCUGCAUGGUGGGGGUUGGAAAGUUUCGGCGGUUGGGGAUGGACUCGCGGCUUAUCAGCUUGUUGGUGGGGUAGUGGCUUACCAAGGCUUUGACGGGUAGCCGGCCUGAGAGGGUGACCGGCCACAUUGGGACUGAGAUACGGCCCAGACUCCUACGGGAGGCAGCAGUGGGGAAUAUUGCACAAUGGGCGGAAGCCUGAUGCAGCAACGCCGCGUGCGGGAUGACGGCCUUCGGGUUGUAAACCGCUUCCGCCUGUGACGAAGCGUGAGUGACGGUAAUGGGUAAAGAAGCACCGGCUAACUACGUGCCAGCAGCCGCGGUGAUACGUAGGGUGCGAGCGUUGUCCGGAUUUAUUGGGCGUAAAGGGCUCGUAGGUGGUUGAUCGCGUCGGAAGUGUAAUCUUGGGGCUUAACCCUGAGCGUGCUUUCGAUACGGGUUGACUUGAGGAAGGUAGGGGAGAAUGGAAUUCCUGGUGGAGCGGUGGAAUGCGCAGAUAUCAGGAGGAACACCAGUGGCGAAGGCGGUUCUCUGGGCCUUUCCUGACGCUGAGGAGCGAAAGCGUGGGGAGCGAACAGGCUUAGAUACCCUGGUAGUCCACGCUGUAAACGGUGGGUACUAGGUGUGGGGUCCAUUCCACGGGUUCCGUGCCGUAGCUAACGCUUUAAGUACCCCGCCUGGGGAGUACGGCCGCAAGGCUAAAACUCAAAGGAAUUGACGGGGCCCCGCACAAGCGGCGGAGCAUGCGGAUUAAUUCGAUGCAACGCGUAGAACCUUACCUGGGUUUGACAUGUAUCGGGAGUGCUCAGAGAUGGGUGUGCCUCUUUUGGGGUCGGUUCACAGGUGGUGCAUGGCUGUCGUCAGCUCGUGUCGUGAGAUGUUGGGUUAAGUCCCGCAACGAGCGCAACCCUUGUUCACUGUUGCCAGCACGUUAUGGUGGGGACUCAGUGGAGACCGCCGGGGUCAACUCGGAGGAAGGUGGGGAUGACGUCAAGUCAUCAUGCCCCUUAUGUCCAGGGCUUCACGCAUGCUACAAUGGCUGGUACAGAGAGUGGCGAGCCUGUGAGGGUGAGCGAAUCUCGGAAAGCCGGUCUCAGUUCGGAUUGGGGUCUGCAACUCGACCUCAUGAAGUCGGAGUCGCUAGUAAUCGCAGAUCAGCAACGCUGCGGUGAAUACGUUCCCGGGGCU